UACGUAGGGCGCAAGCGUUGUCCGGAAUCAUUGGGCGUAAAGAGCGUGUAGGCGGUCCUGUAAGUCCGCUGUGAAAGUCAAGGGCUCAACCCUUGAAUGCCGGUGGAUACUGCAGGACUAGAGUCCGGAAGAGGCGAGUGGAAUUCCUGGUGUAGCGGUGAAAUGCGCAGAUAUCAGGAGGAACACCGGUGGCGAAGGCGGUUCUCUGGGCAUUACCUGACGCUGAGGAGCGAAAGUGUGGGGAGCGAACAGG
rnacentral:rRNA from 1 species